rnacentral:rRNA from 1 species
GACGAACGCUGGCGGCGUGGAUUAGGCAUGCAAGUCGAACGGUAGGGACCCUUCGGGGUUCUGAGAGUGGCGAACGGGUGAGUAACACGUAGGUGAUCUACCCUCAAAUGGGGGACAACCCAGGGAAACUUGGGCUAAUACCGCAUGAGAGUGCUCGAAAGAGUAUUUAAAAGAUGGCAGUAAUGCUGUCGUUUGGGGAUGAGCCUGCGCCCUAUUAGUUAGUUGGUGAGGUAAUGGCUCACCAAGGCGAUGAUAGGUAGGCGGCCUUAACGGGUGGUCGCCCACACUGGGAUUGAGAUACGGCCCAGACUCCUACGGGUGGCAG